AAGUCGUAACAAGGUUUCCGAAAAACAAAAAAAAAAAAUCGAAAACCCUCCCUGUGAACAUUUGCUUGCUCUUACAGACCGCCUGGAUAGACAAUCCCUGGUAAAUCAUCGCUGAACUGGAGUUGAUUCAGGGACAGUUUGUUCGGCUGAGACGCAUAGCUGUAAUCGAGAAAAGGUCUGACUGCUCCGUAAAGUCCGCCAGGAAAGCGCAGUGACAGGCCGUGGUGGCCUUCCAUCAUCCAGAGGGGUUUCUCCAGUACAUACACCCCAAUGCCACUUUCCGCCCCCCAGGAUGUCCCCGCUAUUAGUCGAAACGACCAACCUGUGCAACGUGUUCAGCUCAUGGGCGUCGUAUUUUUGAAAUACUUGAACAACUGUUAACAAUGGAUAUCUUGGUUCUC
rnacentral:misc_RNA from 1 species